AACGAACGCUGGCGGCAUGCCUAACACAUGCAAGUCGAACGAGACCUUCGGGUCUAGUGGCGCACGGGUGCGUAACGCGUGGGAACCUGCCCUUAGGUUCGGAAUAACUCCCCGAAAGGGGUGCUAAUACCGGAUAAUGUCUUCGGACCAAAGAUUUAUCGCCUUUGGAUGGGCCCGCGUUGGAUUAGCUAGUUGGUAGGGUAAAAGCCUACCAAGGCGACGAUCCAUAGCUGGUCUGAGAGGAUGAUCAGCCACACUGGGACUGAGACACGGCCCAGACUCCUACGGGAGGGAGCAGUGGGUAAUAUUGGACAAUGGGCGAAGUCCUGAUCCAGCAAUGCCGGGUGAGUUAUGAAGGCCUGAGGGUUGUAAAGCUCUUUUACCCGGGAUGAUAAUGACAGUACCGGGAGAAUAAGCUCCGGCUAACUCCGUG
rnacentral:rRNA from 1 species